rnacentral:rRNA from 1 species
GCUUACGGCCAUUCCACCCUGAACACGCCCGAUCUCGGAAGCUAAGCAGGGUCGGGCCUGGUUAGUACUUGGAUGGGAGACCGCCUGGGAAUACCAGGUGCUGUAAGCU